GACGAACGCUGGCGGCGUGCUUUACACAUGCAAGUCGAACGGUAACGCCCCGCCUUUGUGUGAUGCUCGACUGACGGGCGGGUAAGUAAUCCGUACGUACCCUGACCUUGGCUUUAGGAUAACUUAAGGUAACUUAGUCCCACACGGGAUAGGAGGUUCUGAUGCAUGGAGCGGGUAGGAAUGUUUCGGCGGUUUGGGAUGGAGCCGCGGAUUAUCAGCUAGUUGGUGGGGUAGUGGCUUACCUAGGCUUUGACCGAUCGCCCGCCUGUGUGGGUGGCCGGCCACAUUGGGACUGAGAUACGGCCCAGACUGCUACUGGAGGCAGCAGUGGGGAAUAUUGCACAAUGGGCGGGAGCCUGAGACAACAACGCCGCGGUCGGGAUGACGGCCUUCGAGUUGUAAACCGCUGUCGCCUGUGACGAAGCGUGAGUGACGGUAAUUGGUAAAGAAGCACCGGCUAACUACGUG
rnacentral:rRNA from 1 species